rnacentral:rRNA from 1 species
UUACGGCCACAUCACGUUGAAACAUCAGUUCCCGUACGAUCGCCGAAAUUAAGCAACGUCGAGCCUAGUCAGUACCUAGAUGGGUGACCGCUUGGAAAUACCAAGUGCUGUAA